AUUGCGUAUUGUAGCUUCAAUGGGAGUUGGAGGAGGUGGAGGUUGUUUGUGGAAGCUCAAUUCUUCCUGCUGAGAUUUUAUUGACACUGUCCCGCUGUCACAAAGAGAACACAGCAAACACUGCAGCCAUAGCUAACCACUGAACACAUUAUAACAUGCUGUAUAGUGCAGCUGCUUCUCCUUUCAGUGUGAACUACCGGCAGUGUUUUGCCUGCCUGCAGUUUUUUAAGAAAUGCUGGUGCAAAUGUCAACAUGUUCACACACACCUGACACCUACAGCUCCCGCUGGUUUCGUUAUUAGGAAAAGUUCAUGGGGUUCUCGCUGCUGGACUACAUCAGCCGACCCAUGUUGUCAUUGGCCUGGAACCAUGUUAUGGAGACUGAAACGAAAGGGCUAUGUAACUGGUUGGAAUCUUUUUGUUUAUCAACUCAGUGUGCAUGUGCGUGUGUGUGGGUGUCUUAUCCUCAGAGGGCAUUCACUCACUCAUACUGACGCACACACAAACACACCAACAUGCAGCCUGACUGAAAGAAAAAAGGGACAUGAGGGGAACUGGCUUCUCAUGUGAGGGAAUAGUUAUCCCAUUAUUCCCAAUAAUUCCUUCUAACAGGACACUUCAUCAGCUUUAAUCCUGCAAAAUCCACCUCAGGUAAUCCCAGACGGGCUGUCUGAUAUUUUGUCUUUCAUCUAUCACACAUUCACACCCGUCUCACCUUUCAUUUGUUUUGGUCUCUUCAGACAUUUCAAGUUAGAAUGAAGUGUCUUACUGAAUAUUUAAGAGGUAUUCUAUAACUCUUUCAUGUUGUAUAUGCAUGUUUUCAGUGUGCCUGUGAGAGAGCGUGUGUAUCUCCUUUGUCUUAGAUGUUGAGUGAACGUCUGUGUAUAUUUAUGACCAGUCAAAACCAACUCAAGGCCAGGAAUGCUGUGAACCAUCAUAGUUUAUAUGGAGUAGAUACACUAUUGGAUAUCUUUAAUGUAUUCUCACAAGGCUCUUAAACCUGUCCUCAUACCCCUCACCUCUUCAUGUGUUUUAUAACGUCCCCUGAAUACUCGCGUGUUAAAGUCAUCAAAGGAUGACUUUAAAGGAUGACUAAGUUUUGAUCGGGUAGCUUCAAAUUGUGGGAUGUCCACAGCUGAACAUGCCUCCUCUUGACUGUAUUACAUGUUGUAUGUGUCACUUUCGGAUUAAUACCACUAAUUAAAACCAUCAGUUUAUAUAUAUUGGAAAGAAAAUCAAUUUAAUAGGAACUGAAAGUAUUACCCACUAACAAUAAACAACAAAGGGACGGGUUCUGUUGUUUAAUAGUUCAGUCCACACACACCUAUACAUGUCCCAUAUACCGUGCUGUAUAUAAAACAUACAGGCAUGAAGAAGAAACAGACCCAUGUUAUGGGUUCCUUCUGCUGGAUCGAUGACCCCUGGAGCUGUCGGAAGCGCACCCACAUACGCACAAAAAAAACACACACAAAUCAAAAUGUAUUUAUGCAUCACAUCAGCCACCUUGACAGAUCUGCAGGCAGACAAUGGUGUUGACACUCAUCAAGGUUUUUUUUUUUUUUCAAACAGCAACACAGUCUUAGCUUAGCUUGACCAGGAAAGACUCUCAGACCAAGCGGUUGCUGCUUUGCCAGAUAGUUCCUCAAUCUCCUUUCAGCCUGUCAGCAUGCGUGUCAGGUCAAUCUUUCUGCUUUGUCAGUCAGAAGUGGUUCAUCAAUCCGUCUGUGUGACAACUCAUUUUCUGUCCCAUGUUUUAAUUCGUCUUCCCAGCAUUGCAAGGCAAAGUCCUGCUCGUCAGUGUUCACCGUCUUCUCAUCUCCUCCACCUCACCGGCAGAAACAUGUUAACAGUUAAUAUAAGCCUUUGUUCAGAUAGACAUCCACUGAGAAUCGCUAGCAGACACACAUUUGUCUGUUUGCUCUGUCUUAAAUCAGGGUUUAGUACAAGGAGUUCAAGGAGAGACGCUGGUUAACAUGAGCCUAAAGUAAAACCGCGAGGGGAUGACGAGAUUGAGUCAAGCAGUCUUACUCAUCCUAACUAUGUGGGCAAUUUAUGUAAGCACUACUGUCUUUGUCCUCUGCCACAUAAAGCCGCCUGAUUUUUGUUCCUGUGGUCCAGUGGCUACACGCCAAAAGACAGGCUUUACUUUGAAGUAUUUCGGAGAUUAUUUUUGCUGGCCAGCCCACACUUUGGGAAAUGUCCAUGACUUUGUAAAGUGAAGUUGCUUUUCUGAGAACGAGAGAUCAGUGUUCCCCCGUAAAGCAGUUAUUAAGCCUGUGUGGUGGAUUUUGUUUUAAAUAUUCACAGUUUCUCCUCUAUUGUUUCUAUUCUUACUUGACUUAGGCACCGAUAACCUGAGAUCAAAGUAUAACAGAAAACUGAACUAAUUUCACUGAGUGGAACUUGUUAGCAUUCGAGUCGUCUCAUGUAUCAAACAACCUUUUGUUUUGCAGGGGACAGGUGCAGGAGGGUUUUUGGCCUUCCACUUAGGAAGGACGUUAUUGUUGAGCGAUACUGUAGCUGGAAUUAGGUGAGGAGGUGAAAUGUGACACACGAGGGAAGCCUCCCCUUCCGUUUGCUGCCAUCCCGUCCCCCUACAGAUGGCGGGCCAGCAGGCGCAUCACUUUACCUCCGCCUGUCAACAGCCCUGUUGUUCUGAGCUUUGUGCAUGCAGACAAAGGGGACCUGAGAGAGCUGUGGGAGGCCGACAUGGUUUGAGUAAUGAGCUGGAAGGCAGUAGCUGUUGAAGUAGAGAGAGGGCCCGUGGUUCGGUCCCUCGGAAGAUAAAACAGAAGAAAACAGAACAUUUUGAUGUUGAUGGAUUGAGCACAAGAAAGUGGCACAUGAAGGCGUGAUGGAGAAUAAGCAUUUUUCUUUAAAAGGCAUUAAUUGCUCUUGAAGUGUUACAAACCUCUUAAAAAGUGUUAUCAUUUUAUUUUCAGAAAAGCAGCCCAAGACGUGUUUUUUUUUUUUUGCCUGUCACUACGGGAAAAGCUGGGUUUGUUUUCCAUAAAUCACUUUUGAUUUUCUUUAUUGAAGGCCCAUUACAAUGCAUCAUUUGACUUCAUUUUAUGAACAAUUUUUUAAAAUUCUCUGAUAUACUUUUACUUUGUUGUCCUUGAUUUUCACUUUGUGAUUUCUUUCUUUCAUGACUGUAGAGACAAAAUAGUUUCUUUGCUGUAGUGAAACUGCUAUGAAUGUGAAUAUCUAUUGGAGAAAUAAAUGCAAUUGC